GACGAACGCUGGCGGCGUGCUUAAUACAUGCAAGUCGAACGGACAGGCCCUGCUCUUGUGGGGUGCUCGAGUGGCGAACGGGUGAGUAACACGCGAGUAAACUGCCCUUGACUUUGGGAUAACUUCAGGAAACUGGGGCUAAUACCGGAUAGGAGCUCCUGCUGCAUGGUGGGGGUUGGAAAGUUUCGGCGGUUGGGGAUGGACUCGCGGCUUAUCAGCUUGUUGGUGGGGUAGUGGCUUACCAAGGCUUUGACGGGUAGCCGGCCUGAGAGGGUGACCGGCCACAUUGGGACUGAGAUACGGCCCAGACUCCUACGGGAGGCAGCAGUGGGGAAUAUUGCACAAUGGGCGGAAGCCUGAUGCAGCAACGCCGCGUGCGGGAUGACGGCCUUCGGGUUGUAAACCGCUUUCGCCUGUGACGAAGCGUGAGUGACGGUAAUGGGUAAAGAAGCACCGGCUAACUACGUG
rnacentral:rRNA from 1 species